CUUUCAUAAAAUUCGGUCACUUGUGGUAUAUCUAUUCUUUAGCCCCCUUAAUUUCCCUCUAUUUUAUUUUCUCGUAUUCCAUGAGACCAUAACUAAUAACUUUUCAGGGUUAACUUGGAAACAAUAAAAAGAGAUCGAGAAGAAGAUGGCAGGGGAAACAGAAACAGAUCUCGGUAAACUUGACAACAUGUCAGAACUUCUGAUGUCUGGAGACAAGUUAAGGAAACUGGCUUUGCUGAUGCACCUACAAGAGGCACAGAGCAUGCGGACCAUAAAAUUUAGAUCAGUACAUCACCAGAUACAGUCCCUCCGAGACUCCCGAAAGACCUACGAGUCCACAAUUGCCAUCCUGGAUGAAGCUGAGCAGCUUAAGGGAAAACUUCCCCUUAAGCGUAAGCGUGAUCUUCAACAGGAUGAUAAGGUGGAUGCCACUAUUUCCUCUGCUAUUAAUCAUCUGAAAGAGUACGCCCACCUUUCAGUUGGUACAGCUUGUAGAACUGUGCCUAGCUUCAACCUUCGCCACGAGUACCUGAAGAAGAUCCGAGACUUUAUGGGGGAAACGAAGAAGGCGUUGGACGCGAUUCAGCCAAGCUUCACUACAACUGCGGUAGCCAUGAUCAUGGAUGCCGAAGUAAUCGUCAAAGACUUGCUUGAACAUAAACAACUAUCGAUCGAUUUUAUGACGUCACGUCAAAACACUUAUAGUUUUAAGAAUUCCAGAUUUUGGAGGGGGAAUCUCCGUCGGCAUCCUGCAGAUAAUUACAUGUUUGAAAACGUGGUUGUCUAGUACAGGGCUAAGGUCGUUCAGCAAAGGAUUAGUGAGGGGAGAAAUCCGAGUAUUAGGGAGUCGGAAGCAGGUGGCGUAAUGACGGUAGCAGAGACGGAAGAACAAGUAAUAAUGGAAAAUAUGGAGAUUUAUAGUGAAAUCGCGACUAAAACUGGAAAGCGUUCAUAUACAAAGCUAUCAAAGGGUGCAAAAAUAUUCGGGAGAGCACUCAUAGUUUUCCAACUGGGCAUGAUAGUUUAUGAUACGUGUGAAUCAGAUCAUCCAGUUCAGACCGCGGUAGAGGAGUCAGCUGAAUUUGGUGCGUCGUUUGCUGCUGGGAUUGCGGGCGAGAUUAUAGGUACUGUUGCUGUAGAGUCUAUCUUUAUUGCGGCAGGAAUUGCUACCACAACUGCAUUAGCCUCUGUUGUUGUACUUGCUGCAUCGGUAGUAACUGGCAUCGGAUUAGCUGUCGCGGUCGGGGCCUUAACUGGUUUCUUAAUUACCAAGUUAUUCGAGUCUGGAGGUAAAACUCCUAAAGCUCCUAAAGCUCCUGCUACAGUUCCUAGUCUUAAGAAAAGUGUUGUUCGUCAUCCUGCCACUGAAAAUCUUGUCAUCCAUUUUGCCAAAAUGCCUGCUGCUGAACGCUUGGCUCGCCGACUUACUGCUGCCAGUGCAUAAGAAUUAAGAAGUCUCUUCUUCAGAGAUCGAUCUGUCACUUGAGCUUUCAAGAGUCCGGCCAGUCUUGCUCUAUCUAAUUUAAUCGUUUUGUUGUUAUCUCGAUCUGCUUGAAUUAAUAUUCUUAAUGUUCUUCUUUUUGUUUAUUUAAUUAAAAACUAUUUCAAUGGUGAGUAAUUUUAUUGAAUAAUUUUCAUAAUAUCAAGUCUAGCAGUCUAGCACUUGUAAGGUGAGAAUGCUGAACCAUAUCAAUUAAGUCUAGCACUCUCUCUGUUUCUUAAUAAUUGUAACAAUGUGACGGACAUAUUUUUCAAAGCGCGCACUAGUUUGACUGUAUCUAAUUAUACGCAA